UACUAUAUAUAUCAUAAUCACAUUAGGUAAUUACUAUAUAUAUCAUAAUCACAUUAGGAAAUUUAUUACUAUAUAUAUAAUAAAUUUCAAUUUGAUAAAUGAAUGGUCCAUAAUGUACAUACUAUAUAAUAUAACAUUCUUUAACAAUUUAAUUUUGGACUAACAAAAUUCUCAAUUGAUUUUUAAGCCGCCACGUAAACAAAUUAACUUUUCAAUUACUUGACAACUCAACAUGACACUUUUUUUAACUAGUAUAAAAUACAUGUUAUAAACUUUUUAAAUGUUUUUCUAUUAAUAUAUAGGAGAUGUUAAACCAUUGAUCAUUAAUUUUUAACAUAAUAAUUUUAACAGUUUUAGUAAUUUUGUCGUUUUUUUUUAAUUUUAAAAAUAUAACAUAUAUGUAGAAAUUUAUAUUUUAAUUUUAUAGCUAUUUUGAUUGUUUAAUUUAUUUUAAUAAUAUAAAAUUAAACAAAAACGAUGGAUGAGAUAUAAAUUAUUAUCAAAUCUUUAUUAUUACAAUCAUUAAUUGUCAUAUAUAUAUAUAUUAGUCAUAUUUGAUAAUUUCGUAGCUUUUAUUUAAGGAAAGAAAAUAAAAUAGUAGUUGUAUACUUUAAUUAAUUUUAUGAUUAGUUUAUUGAAAAGUAUAAUAUAUACUUAAUUGGACCAACAUAUUUUCUAAAGUUUAUGAAUUUCAUUCUGAUGAUGACACGUGGCUACAUUUAAAGAUUGUAAUGUUUCUCGAUUAAUAUAUAAAGGAUAUUCAUAAUUGCAUAAUUGCACACACACAUCUUCCAAUGCACCGGCCAGUCCUUUUCACCCAACAGACUUCGGACCAACAUAUUACAUAUAAUUUAUAAUACACAACUUGAUAUUUUGAUAAUCAUCUUGAUGACUCCCUAAAUAUAUAAACAUUAUCUCCCUGUUUAUUUUGUCUUUCGCUACAUUUUUAUUCAAUAGUUUGAUACAAUUAUUGUUAUACGAUAAAGAUUAAAACCUUAAGUAAGAAAAUUGUCUACAUGUAUAAGAAUAUUACGUAAGAUAAAGUGACUAUUGCUGAUUGAUUAACAUCUAAUACAUCUUCACUCGUAAUAUAUUCGACUCAUUUCUAUGCUUUCAUUCAAAAUAUAUAUAUAUAUAUAUAUAUAUAUAUAUUGAAAUAAAAUUACCUAUAUAAGUUUUUCUGUUUUUGAAAAAUAUAUAGAAAUGGGGUUGAGAUGGUAUCGUUUUCUAAAAAAGAGGGUUUGAGAUGGUUUCAUUUGUCAGUUUUGAUAUAGAUAUGUAUCAUCCCAAACUUCUUAUAACCAUCUCUCAACUAAAAUAUCAUGUCUUGCAGAUCCUUUUAAUGUAAAAUACAUUGAUGUGAUAUUGUGAUUAAUCAUCUAUGCUCAAUACACAUAACGUAUGAAUACUUAGUUAAACUAUCUUUAAUAUACUCCUAUAUCUUAUUCUAAAAUAGAAAACUCUAUUUUAGCGUUCAUAUUUGAUGUAAUACAUGUCUUUAGAGCAUUUUUAACCUUACUUAAUUUUUUACUUUAAAAUAAAAUUUAGAGUAAAAAAUACUUUCACUUUAUAUUCACUCUAUAAAAUAGAGUAAAAAAUGGGUUUACUCUAUAUAUACAAUAAUAUAUUUAGUUUUUAUUCAUCACUCUAUUAAUUCCACCACUGAUUCUAAUGAUACUCUAUUUUGAAUAAAAAAUAGAGUGAUGAAUAAAAACUAAAUAUAGGGGGGGGGGGGGGACAAUUGACCCAUGUAAAGUUUUGCAAACAAAAAAAAAUACAUGUAUCUCUAAAGAAAAAUAUGAUGAAUUAAGCGAACUGACCCUUGCAAAAUUUAUUUUUUAUCAAAUUGACCUCUCAAAAAUAAAAUUCUGCAUACGCGACUGAUUAGAGUAUAACAUAAUUCUAUCAUAGCACUAUUCUAUUUUGAAGAAAAAAUAAAGUGAACUAUUAAAGAUGAUAUUAUGAAAGAGGAAUAAAUAGCACUUGUGCACAAAAAAGAAGAAUAAAUAGCACUCAUCUCUUAAAAAAAACAGAAGAACUUUGUUAUAAAGAAAUACAUCUUGGACGAAAUAUUAUUUUUAUAACAUGUCUUUUAUUUUAGAAGAAAAAUAUGUAGAUGGAGUUCCUUAAACCUAAGAACGAUUAGGUCAUAAGCUCAUGGCAUUAGUAUAUAUUAGUAAAGCAAUUAGUUUUUAAAUGACCAUGCCACGUGUCACCUCCAUAUUUCUCUAUUUGAUGACGUGUUUCUCUGAGAAGAGAGUCACCCUCUUCUUUAUAGUAUUAGAUAAAUAUAUAAUAGAUAUGGAUUAUGUAUUGGAUGUAGUUGGAAAGAACCAAAAAAAGUUUGGGUUGUAAAGGGAAAGCUUUUGUGGGGGUGAGAGGCGGCUUUUGGACAACGUAAAGAGCCGGUUUUCACUAACUUACCUUCGUGGAAUCUUCAAAGGCAUUUUGUUUUUCUUAGUUUUCUUCUUCUUCAUAUUUGUUUAAUUAGGAACUAAUACAUAACAAGGUAUAAUAACUACUAUGCUUUGUGGAUGAUGGCGUAGAAGCUCCAGUGAAAUAGACCAAUAACACGUUGGUUCCAUAAAUACAUGGGGGGGGGGGGGACAAUUGACCCAUGUAAAGUUUUGCAAACAAAAAAAAAUACAUGUAUCUCUAAAGAAAAAUAUGAUGAAUUAAGCGAACUGACCCUUGCAAAAUUUAUUUUUUAUCAAAUUGACCUCUCAAAAAUAAAAUUCUGCAUACGCGACUGAUUAGAGUAUAACAUAAUUCUAUCAUAGCACUAUUCUAUUUUGAAGAAAAAAUAAAGUGAACUAUUAAAGAUGAUAUUAUGAAAGAGGAAUAAAUAGCACUUGUGCACAAAAAAGAAGAAUAAAUAGCACUCAUCUCUUAAAAAAACAGAAGAACUUUGUUAUAAAGAAAUACAUCUUGGACGAAAUAUUAUUUUUAUAACAUGUCUUUUAUUUUAGAAGAAAAAUAUGUAGAUGGAGUUCCUUAAACCUAAGAACGAUUAGGUCAUAAGCUCAUGGCAUUAGUAUAUAUUAUAUUAGAUAAAUAUAUAAUAGAUAUGGAUUAUGUAUUGGAUGUAGUUGGAAAGAACCAAAAAAAGUUUGGGUUGUAAAGGGAAAGCUUUUGUGGGGGUGAGAGGCGGCUUUUGGACAACGUAAAGAGCCGGUUUUCACUAACUUACCUUCGUGGAAUCUUCAAAGGCAUUUUGUUUUUCUUAGUUUUCUUCUUCUUCAUAUUUGUUUAAUUAGGAACUAAUACAUAACAAGGUAUAAUAACACUACUAUGCUUUGUGGAUGAUGGCGUAGAAGCUCCAGUGAAAUAGACCAAUAACACGUUGGUUCCAUAAACAUACUUAUAUUAAAAAACAAUACAUAUAGUCUACUUACCAUUCGUUAAUACUAGCGUAAUUUCAAACUAAAAAACAUGAAAAAUCUAAUGAUGUUCUUUGGAUUACAAAAUCAUAUACGUCAUUGUUAAUUAUGAUCCAGGUAUACUCGGUGUUAGUAGCUCAACCGGUGUACUAGUUGACAAUUUAAACUAAAAUAAUAUUGGUGAAAUCCCAAAUUCAAAAGCGACGGUUUAUAUACAACUUAAUCUACCACAUAAUUCAUAGGACAUUUAUCUAUAAUAAUCGAUUGCUUAUAUCUAUAAAAAGUUGAAUUCAGACCCUAGGCUGUACUGUACAUCAACAAUUACAACUCUCAAUUUCUUGUAAAAUGAGACUUGUCAAAAUUUUAUCCCAAACAAAAAAAAGAAGAAAUAUCGUUUGAAAUGAGGAUAGAUAUUUGUUUGGACAUAAGUGAUUUGGAGAUCUUACGAAGUGGGAACAACUUAAAAUAUACAUUCCGACCAACCAUCAACCAUAACAAAAAUAUCUAUAAAUACAACGUAUCUAUAUAUUUUUAUAACUGGUAGAAUCACACCACAGUUGAACCGCUUAUCCUGCAUCAUUCAAUCCAUAAUUACCAUUCAGAGCCUUAAUAUUUUUAGUUUUGUCCAUUAUUGUUGGGAUUGUGAAAUCUCGUGUCCAACUCUUUAUUAUCCGAUUAGUACGAUAUUGUCCACUUUGGACCUAAUUGGCAAGCCCGCAUGGAUUUACUUUUGGUUUCCAUCCCAAAAGGCCUCGUACUAAUUAGAGUUGGACAUCUCUUUAUAUAUUAGACACUCUUUGUCUAAUUCUCCAAUGUGGGACUUAGUUUGUUAUCUCACAUUCUCCCCUUCAAACUAAGGAUCACAUUCAUCUCGUGUCUCACAACUGACUUCCAAGAUCUUCUGACUUGAUUUCUGCCACACACCUCUCAUUCCUAACUCAUAGGAUACCCAUUCAUCACUCAUUCAUCAUUCAAAGGGUAUUUCGGUCUUUCUUGCAGAUUUCUCGUCAACUGCGCUCUGAUACCAAUUGUUGGGAUUGUGAAAUCCCGUGUCCAACUCUUUAUUAUCCGAUUAGUACGAUAUUGUCCACUUUGGACCUAAUUGGCAAGCCCGCAUGGAUUUACUUUUGGUUUCCAUCUCAAAAGGCCUCGUACUAAUUAGAGUUGGACAUCUCUUUAUAUAUUAGACACUCUUUGUCUAAUUCUCCAAUGUGGGACUUAGUUUGUUAUCUCACAUCCAAGUUUCUAAUCUAUAUCAUCAACAACAACAAACCCCUCUUAGGUUAUGAAUGAGAGGCAGGAGAAAUGCAGAUCAUCUGCUGUUGUAGGAGAAUUGUACUUGAAUCAUCCAUUCUCCAUUUUCUGUUUUAAAAAUUUGUUUUGCAGAGAUUCGCAAGCCGUCCAAUUUUUUUGUCUUUUUUAAAAAAAAAACAGAUAUUCUACAUGUAGAUUUGUCCACUAGACAUUUGGAGCUGUUCACCAAUUUUUAUUUUUUGGACCAAUAAAUGAUUUUAUUACAAAUAGUUAAUAUAUUUAAUAUUAUUCUAUAAAUAAUACAUUUUCAUUCUAUUUUGCUUACAUCUUUUACUAUACAAAUAAAUUUAACACUUAUCUAAAUUAUUUAUAUGAUGUGUGUUCUGAAUUAUGUAAAUAUAUAAUAUUGUAGUUUAAAUAUAUAUAUAUUUAUUAAUUGCAUAAAGACAUAUUUGGUUAAUCACUAAUUUUUCAUAUUUUAAUUUUUAAAAUAUGGUUACAUAACUUUAGUGAAAUAUUUAUUGUCAUGUAUGUAUUGUAUCGACACAUUAUGUAUUUUAUUGUAAUUUUUAUUAUUUAGUUAUAUCAUUUAUUCUUAAAUUGCUUUUGUCAUUAUAAACUAUAAUCAAUGUUUUGGAAACCGGACUAGUGAAACGGUGGAUCAACCGGUCGGACUAUGACUCGUUCUUCUAACUAGUUUUGGGUUGUGUUAAAAUCAGAUUUAAUAUAAACCGAUAAAUUCAGUCAAAAACCGGUCAAACUCGCUAAAAUCGUGACCUGGUUUGAUAUUAAAAUCUAGAUUUCUUAAAUUCAAGUUUUAAAAAAUCAUAGAAAAAUCAUAUUAUUUCCUAAUAUGUAUAUAAAUAAAUUAGUUUUAGUCAUAUUUUAUAUCAUUUUCUAAAAAUAUAUAUAUUAUUUAUAUCAUUUUAGAUUUUAACAAUAAUAUAAAAUUGUAUCAAAAUAACUUACAGCUAUACUAGCUAUAAUGAUUGUAAUAAAUUGUUUGAUCCGCUUGAUCUCUUUUUCUCUCACAUGAUCUCUUUGAUCUGUAGUUGAUCCGCUUAAUCUGCUCUGCUUGAACUGUUUUUACCUUUCAAAGCCUUAGUUUUCACAAUCUUUGUAAAAAUGAAUAGUGAACACGAAAAGAGAAUUAUAAUUUAUACUAGUAUAUAAUAAUGAGCUGGAAAAGUAUAAACGAAUGAGCUUUAUUUGCUACAUGCGAUUUAUAGUUUGCUAGUUCGAAAUAGACAUGUAUUUUGAUUCAUGUUUAAAAGAAAUAAAAUAACUAUUUUAAAAAUAAUUUUCCAUGCUUUUGGUUUUAAAUUGGAAUAUUAAAAGUUGGUAUUCCGCAAUCUGAAGAUUUUAAUGAACAUUUUCUAGAAUACUGGGACGUGAAAGUGGGGUUUAUUCACAUCCUCCAACUUUCAAUACAUUUAAUUAAUGUCUAAUCAUGAUUUCGUGGAAGUAAUGUUUAUGUAUUACUUUUAUGGAAGUGAGGUAGUUAUACUCUUUACAUGUUUAUUUUGAAAUACUCGUUUUGUUUUUUAAAAAGUUUUACUUUAACAUUUUAUCUUUGUUACAUAAAAAUAUUAUUUUAGAAUUCCAAUAUAUUUUAUACUUAACUUCAUAUAAAAAAAUUAUUUAUUUCAAACAUUGUUAGUUUAAAAAAAUUAUAUUAAUGAAUACAUAAAUAUAUUUUAAUAUUUUUAAUAUGUAAAAAGUGUUUAAGUGAUACUCUUUAUACUAAGCAUGUGCAUUCGAAUACCCAAUCGGGUUCGGAUAGGGUAAUUCGGAUAUCGAGUUUUACGGGUUUUGAAAAAAGUCCCAUUCGGAUAUUUUAAAAACUCAGGUCGGAUUCGAGUCAGAUCUUCUCGGGUUCAGGUGGGUACGAAUGUUAAAAAAAAACCCGAAAAUUCCCGCGGUUAUCCAUUAUACACGGUUCGGGUCCGGAUAAUUACAUCCAAAGUAACCAAACAUGCUUGUUAUUUAUCCAAAUAUCCAAAGUUACAUGAGUAGAAAUGAGUUGAAAAUGGAAAAAAUGAGUUGAAAAUGAAGAACAUGAGUUAGCAUUAUGUUAAUAUAAAGUCGAGAUUAUGAGUUCAAAAACAAACAAAUAACAUAAAUUAAAAACAACAACAUUCAUAGAAAAUGAGUUCAACCACAACAACAAAACCAAACAAAGAAGCAUACUCCGAAAAUGAGUUCAAGAUCAUUAACAACUAGAGCAACAACAAAGACCAAACAUAAAACAACAAUCCUUCAAGAUCCAAACUUCAACAGAAAAACUUCUCCAUACUCCAAAACUUGUCCUGCAACAAAAGAAUAAACUUAUAUUAGCAAAUAAAAAUGAUCAACCAACCUCAAAGCUCAAUCCAUAAAGUAUCUUAAGCGGCUUUACCUUGUAAGCAAAGAACAAAAACAGAUACCACGAACUCUCUUAGUCUUCGUUCAAGUUCAGAUUAUCAUACUCUGAAAAAGUUAAUAUAAUUAGUAAACAUAUUGAAAAAACUAACAUAUAAGAUUAGAGAAGAAAAUUACCUCUCUUAAGCUUAUCUUCAUAUUGAAAAUCAGUGAGAAUUUGUUCAAUUGUCACCAGUCUAGCAUCACCACAUCGAAUGCCUGCCUUGAGUCAUUGCUCUGAGCACAUCAAAACUUCAACCAUAUAAUGAGUAAGACAGCUCCUGUAUGAAUCUAUGAAUCGAACACUAGUGCUAAAAACACUCUCGAAAGCAACUGAUGAGACUUGCAUUACAAGUAUCUCUUGCCAUUUUUGCAAGAACCAACAACUUUUCACAAUUGAACUUCCACCAAGACAAAACAUCAUACUCAACUCCAACCAUGACUUUCGAAUUGACAACACUCUCUCUAAGGUAGGUAUCCAACUCAUCCCUAGAUUCACGAUCUUCUAUUUUCCCAACCAACUCCUCAUACAUGAAAUCUAUCCUCUCGUAACCCAUCUCAUUGUUGAUCAAAUUGAUUCUUUCGAAAGAGGGUUGCUCUUGGCUACCAAAAGAUGCAGCUAGAUUGGUUUGAGACCCUUGCACUGCUUCACCUCUAUUAGACCGAGCACUAUACUCCUUAAACAUGUAGCGCAAAACAUCAAUCACUGACUGAUACAUCUCCUUGGAAUCUAAACUUUCUUUUCCAUAGAGUUUCUCAAAACACAUUUUAGCAAACUGCUUCUUCUUUCUAUGAUCAAAAACUGUUGCUACAAUCAACAUCUUGUUGAUUUUCUUCAUACCAUCCCAAUAAUUAUCAAACUUCCUAAGCAUAUCUUCAGAUUUUGGCUUCAAACCCAGGUAUAUAUUAUUACUCAACCCCAUCAGAUUCUUCUGGAUUGUUACAAUCUCACCAUAGCACUUAUAGGAGUUCAGAGAUGUGCUUGCGGACACAACCAAUUUGGAGUUGUAGAAGAUGAUCAGAAACCUUACUAAACUCUCAAUGCCAGUUAACCACAGCAGGAGGUCCAACUUGUUGUGCUCCACCUUCUAACUCCAUGAAAUAGUCGUUGUAAAGCAUGUCCUUCGCCUCCAUCUUGUCAAACACUAACCUGAACUCAAGUGCUUUCGACAUCAUCAAGUAAGUUGAAUUCCAUCUAGUUUUAAAAUCCAGUGGCAAACUACCCCUUUUCAGUUUUCCCGAAUAAACCCGGAGCUCAAAUGACCUCAAUCUAGACGUACGAGACCUAAUAUACCCAGCUGCAUUACGAAUUGCUGAGACAUUCUCAUCCACUUCAGCCAAACCAUCUUUAAUGAUCAAGUUUAUGAUGUGUGCUGCACAUCACAUAUGCAUAAAUUCUCCAUCCGUAACAAGGCUUCAUUUGAAAGUAAGGAGAAGCUACUCUGAAAUUUCCUAAGCGCAGAGGUAUUUGCAGUUGCAUUAUCAACAGUUAUGCAAAAAAUCUUUUGUAUUCCCCUUUCAGCCAAACAAUCUAGAAGCACAGUUGAAAUGGUCUGACCUUUGUGGUAUGUGAUGUACUUGUAACCGAUGAUCAACCUCAUUAGCUGCCACGAAGCAUCCACAAAAUUAAGUGUGACUACCAUAGAACUCACACCUACAGUACCAAAAAUGAGUUAUUAUAGUAGAACAAGCUCAUCGAUUCAAAAACAGAAUAAGCCAUUACACAUUACAUGUUGUUUGAGCAACCCAUAUGUCAGUGGUAAGCGAAACUCGUUGUUUAUUAGCCUUGAACCAUGCUUUCAAUAUCGCUUUCUUUUCGACAUACAAUUUAACAAUGUCUCUUGUUUCCGUGCUCAUAGAGUGUGGCUUGAGUUCGAUUAUCUUGUUGCAGAAGUGCUUCCAAGCCAUACUCUCAACAAAUGAGAGUGGCAUUUCCCCAAUCACACCCAUCUCGUUUGUUGCCUCUCUGAAUUGAGUCUUAGAAACUCUAGUAUACCUCACUGCUCUAUCGUCGUCAAUGGUUGCCUGAUUCUUUUUUCGUCAUGCUUCCCAUGCCAGAUACAAUUUGCUGGUUGUAAGAUGAUUGUCCAGGUUUGAAGUACCAGAUUUUGAUGCACAAGCAAAACUCCUCUUGCAGUGGUGACAAAAGCAUCUGUCUCGAUUCCCUUUGGUCCGAGUGUAAUGCUCCCAAAUACGGGACUUUGGGCUCAUAACCUUUGCUUCCUUUGCUGGCUGAGAAGUAGCUCCACUUGAAUUCACAAACGUCUUCCUCUCUCCCCUGUUGCCAUGAGUGAUAAGCUCUUCAUGUGUUUCUUCAAGAACAAAGUCUUUUUCUUUGUCAUUGUUGUUUGGAUUAAGCGAUGCUGAAGAAUGUCUUUGUGAAAACAAAUACAAUCAAUUCAGAAAUAACGAGAAAAUAUAAAAUUUGUUUAAGAUCAAUUGCCAUAAAAGUAAGAACAAUCGAUUGCAAAAAAAAAUAACAACAAUUGAUUGCAAAACAAAUAAGAACAAUCGAUUACGGAUUUACGGUUUACAAAUCUAUUAAACUAAUAUAGAACAAUCGAGAACAAUCUAUUAAGCAAUUACAAUCGAUUAGGGAUUAGUUUACCUUAGGCCUAUUUGAAAAGGUUUUUGAGUGAUGAAAUUGAGAAUAUGAACUCAUGCAAUCGGAACUCUCCAUAUUUAUAUGGAAUCAAAUUCGACAGUCGAGACAAGCGUGCAAAAGAGACUCUACGAUCUAAGGAGAUAGAGACUAUUCGUUCUUCUGUGGUGUUACCGCGUGAGAAGACAGAGACUCUUCGUUCUUCGUCGGCCGAACUCGACACACGAGAGUAUUUUCGUCGGCCGAACUCGACACACGAGAGUAAUGAAGAGAAGUAAUGAACAUGAGUAACGUUAUUAAUGAGGUAUAUUUCGGAUCCCGGGUUUUAACCGAACCGAUCCGUUAUCCGAGAGUAUCAAACAAAAGACUCUAAUUCGGGGUUUUAACAAAACCGAAACCGAACCGAACUGUUUUCAGGUCGGUACUGGUUCGGUUCCGCGGGUAUGGUUCUAAUGCCCAGACCUACUUUAUACAAUGGAGAGAGUAAGAUAUAGAAUGACUAAAGUCAAUCAAUGAAAUGAGCAUAAAUAACAUUAGUGAGAUUUGUGUUUAAUAGCAUGAGCAGCCACAAUUUUCGAUGGGUCCAAUAUAGUUUCAUCACCUCCUCCACUUAAGUCAUGGGAGUCCACUUGAUGUAACAAAAAAUUAGUUAUUAAGAAUUGGGAAAAUUGUUUUUUUUAGAGCAAAAAAAAUGAUAACUAUGUCUCUUUAGACUAAUCUCAUAUACUUUAUGUCUCAUUAGGCUAAUUAUUUUUAAAAUGGCAAUAAUGCCCUUAACGUUGUAAUUUUUUGUUUUUUUUUGUUUUUUUUUUU